ensembl:lncRNA BCDIN3D-AS1 BCDIN3D antisense RNA 1
CGUCUAGAACAGAGAAAACUAAGAUGGGGUCGUCCCCCCAGUAAUCUGGAAAACAGUUACAGCAACAGGCUCCUCUCAUCAGACGGCAGUGCUGGUCGUUUCCUCACUGGUUUGCGGGGAAGGCUGGGCAGAAAAAGGAUGCAACCUUGUUCUCAACCACUUGCUAUCUCGUGAUUCAGGGAUUGGAUGAGUCUCUAUGGUUUGUUUUGCCCUGAAGAGCAGAAGGCUUCUGUCCCAACUGGUGUUGCCAAAGCAACAUAUUAAUUCCAUGCCAUGAUCCUGGGUCAAGAUCUGCACAAUCUGAUUGGGCAUGUCACCUCGGAUGGCAAGGGAGUGGAAGUGGUCAAAAUCAUGGAGUCCCAGCUUUCGGAGACGCCUUGCAGCUGCCCGGUGAAGAAAAUGCACAAUGGAAACCACCCAGAUGUCCAGUGAUAGUGGCAUGGACAAAUAAAUGUGGUAUAAUCAUGA